rnacentral:rRNA from 1 species
GACGAACGCUGGCGGCGUGCUUAACACAUGCAAGUCGAACGGAAAGGCCCUGCUUUUGUGGGGUGCUCGAGUGGCGAACGGGUGAGUAACACGUGAGUAACCUGCCCUUGACUUUGGGAUAACUUCAGGAAACUGGGGCUAAUACCGGAUAGGAGCUCCUGCUGCAUGGUGGGGGUUGGAAAGUUUCGGCGGUUGGGGAUGGACUCGCGGCUUAUCAGCUUGUUGGUGGGGUAGUGGCUUACCAAGGCUUUGACGGGUAGCCGGCCUGAGAGGGUGACCGGCCACAUGGGGACGGAGAUACGGCCCAGACUCCUAGGGGGGGCAGCAGUGGGGAAUAUUGCACAAGGGGCGGAAGCCUGAUGCAGCAACCCCGGGGGCGGGAUGACGGCCUUCGGGUUGUAAACCGCUUUCGCCUGUGACGAAGCGUGAGGGACGGUAAUGGGAAAAGAAGCACCGGCUAACUACGU